rnacentral:rRNA from 1 species
UACAGAGGGUGCAAGCGUUGUUCGGAAUUACUGGGCGUAAAGCGCGUGUAGGCGGUUUGGUAAGUCAGACGUGAAAUCCCUCGGCUCAACUGAGGAACUGCGUCUGAUACUGCUAGACUAGAGUGUCGGAGGGGAUGGUGGAAUUCCCGGUGUAGAGGUGAAAUUCGUAGAGAUCGGGAGGAACACCUGUGGCGAAGGCGACCAUCUGGAAGACAACUGACGCUGAGACGCGAAAGCGUGGGUAGCAAACAGGAUUAGAUACCCUGGUAGUCCACGCCGUAAACGAUGAGUGCUAGGUGUUGUGGGUAUUGACCCCUGCAGUGCCAAAGCUAACGCGUUAAGCACUCCGCCUGGGGAGUACGGUCGCAAGAUUA